rnacentral:rRNA from 1 species
GACGAACGCUGGCGGCGUGCUUAACACAUGCAAGUCGAACGGAAAGGCCCCUUUGGGGGUACUCGAGUGGCGAACGGGUGAGUAACACGUCAGUAACCUGCCCUGGACUUCGGGAUAACUUCAGGAAACUGGGGCUAAUACCGGAUAGGAAUCCUUGCUGCAUGGUGGGGGUUGGAAAGCUUCGGCGGUUUUGGAUGGACUCGCGGCGUAUCAGCUUGUUGGUGGGGUAGUGGCUUACCAAGGCUUUGACGGGUAGCCGGCCUGAGAGGGUGACCGGCCACACUGGGACUGAGAGAAGGCCCAGACGCCUACGGGAGGCAGCAGGGGGGAAGAUUGCACAAUGGGCGGAAGCCUGAUGCAGCAACGCCGCGGGCGGGAUGACGGUCUUCGGGUUGGAAACCGCUUGCAGCAGGGGCGAAGCUUGUGGUGACGUUACCUGCAGAAGAAGCACCGGCUAACUACGUG